AGGGGUAAACCUGAGAAACCCGAAAGGUCGAAGGAAGAAAUUCAUUCGCGUUUCGACGCAGGCGUCGGUCGGUCGAGCGACGGGAGACGUUCGCGUCUCUCGCGCCCUCCGUCCGUCGAUCCGGCGACGAACGCGUGCACUUUUCUUCUGGUAGGACGUCGCGAUCCGUUGGGUGUCAGUCUAAGGCGCGCGGCGGAGCCCGCUCGUCGCCUCGUGCGACGUACGGACCCGUGCGUCCCGGCUGACUCGCUCGACGGUAUCCGAAAGGUUAGGGGCCGCUCUCUACGGAGCGUUCGACUCUCGGCAAGCGCGCCAGACGCGUCGGCGAUCGGACCCGGUGCCGGUCCCGGCCUCUGGUGACUGUUGGCCGCGGAAGUUCUCGAACAGACCCCUCGACCGAUCAGCGACGCUAUAGCUUUGGGUACUUUCAGGACCCGUCUUGAACAAC
rnacentral:rRNA from 1 species